CAAUCGUGAUACAUCGGCUAUCUCGGAUUCCUCCGUAAGAUAGGCCUCGUGGCUAACGGUCGCCAUAUUGCCUUGUAUUACUACUUUACUACCCAAAAGGUUGUCAGUCUAUUGUUAUGAGGCUGUAUACGAUGCGCGUUGAACUAGCGCCAAACUUUUUACCGAAACUUUGAUAUUAAUAGCACUAUUACCGUUCAUUUGUGUUGCAUUUUGACCUAUUAUCCAAGUGAUUUACUUUUCCAUUAUUAUUUAAUCACCCUAUCAUCCAAUUUUUAAGAUGAAAUUACGGUGUUUACAAAACCAACCAAACCGAAAGUGAAACUGGAUGCAUUACGUUUCGCGAUGUAAACAUUAAAUAUUUGUUCAGUUUGAGGAAGCGAAUCGAUAAUAGACGUUGGAAUAUGUAUGCAAUACAGACUAUCAUUGCCGAUUGUAGUACUGGCUAAAAAAUACCUUUUAUGACAGGUAUACUGGAUUAUGAAAGACUGAUAAACAUGAAAUUGACAACUCAUCUCCCCAACGAUAUUUGUGUGGCUCAUUCUCAGAACAAACCCAUAGUCAGUGAGAAAACUACAGUGUAAAAAGACCACUUGAUUGUGACAAUUAUGGCUGACCAAGCAAAUGUUAUCAUUUAAAAUAAAGAAAACUUCCAGUUCAA